rnacentral:rRNA from 1 species
UACAGAGGUCUCAAGCGUUGUUCGGAUUCACUGGGCGUAAAGGGUGCGUAGGUGGCGAGGAAAGUCGGAUGUGAAAGCUCGGAGCUCAACUCCGAAAUGGCAUUGGAAACUACCUUGCUCGAGGGUUGGAGGGGGGACUGGAAUUCUCGGUGUAGCAGUGAAAUGCGUAGAUAUCGGAAGGAACAUCAGUGGCGAAAGCGGCUUCCUGGUCCAGCACCGACGUCAGGCACGAAAGCGUGGGGAGCAAACAGG